rnacentral:rRNA from 1 species
GCUAUAAUGCAGUCGAGCGACAGAUAAGGAGCUUGCUCCUUUGACGUUAGCGGCGGACGGGUGAGUAACACGUGGAUAACCUACCUAUAAGACUGGGAUAACUUCGGGAAACCGGAGCUAAUACCGGAUAACAUAUUGAACCGCAUGGUUCAAUAGUGAAAGGCGGCUUUGCUGUCACUUAUAGAUGGAUCCGCGCCGUAUUAGCUAGUUGGUAAGGUAACGGCUUACCAAGGCAACGAUACGUAGCCGACCUGAGAGGGUGAUCGGCCACACUGGAACUGAGACACGGUCCAGACUCCUACGGGAGGCAGCAGUAGGGAAUCUUCCGCAAUGGGCGAAAGCCUGACGGAGCAACGCCGCGUGAGUGAUGAAGGUCUUCGGAUCGUAAAACUCUGUUAUCAGGGAAGAACAAAUGUGUAAGUAACUGUGCACAUCUUGACGGUACCUGAUCAGAAAGCCACGGCUAACUACGUGCCAGCAGCCGCGGUAAUACGUAGGUGGCAAGCGUUAUCCGGAAUUAUUGGGCGUAAAGCGCGCGUAGGCGGUUUUUUAAGUCUGAUGUGAAAGCCCACGGCUCAACCGUGGAGGGUCAUUGGAAACUGGAAAACUUGAGUGCAGAAGAGGAAAGUGGAAUUCCAUGUGUAGCGGUGAAAUGCGCAGAGAUAUGGAGGAACACCAGUGGCGAAGGCGACUUUCUGGUCUGUAACUGACGCUGAUGUGCGAAAGCGUGGGGAUCAAACAGGAUUAGAUACCCUGGUAGUCCACGCCGUAAACGAUGAGUGCUAAGUG